GGUGGGUUAUACCAUUAAUUGCCUCGCUUAUUACUGAAAGACACAUGGGUGAGUGACCGCACGUCUGCUACUGAGGUGCUGUCACAGCGCGCAGUGUGUGAGUGGGUGCUGUUAGGAGGCAAAAAUCAUUUCUCACAGCGGACCACAUCUCCACACCAGACAAUGAGCGACUGGUAGCAAGGUGGGUGACCGCAGGUCUGCUGCUAUCAUGCAUGGAGCACGCACGGU